GGCCCGGUGGUGAACUGGUGAACACACUGGAUUUUCAUUCCAGCAUGGCGGGUUCGAUCCCCGUUCGGGUCA
rnacentral:tRNA from 1 species